GACGUGCCGAGUAUGCAGGUGGUGAAAAAACGAGAGGAGGUGCCAUGGAUGGGAAUGUACGGAUUAUUAUUAAGAAUGUGAUUAAUAUGGGUUUAAUUGAUGUUUGUCAUGGUGUU
rnacentral:ribozyme from 1 species